rnacentral:misc_RNA from 1 species
GAAAUGCGAUACGUAAUGUGAAUUGCAGAAUUCAGUGAAUCAUCGAAUCUUUGAACGCACAUUGCGCCCCUUAGUAUUCUAGGGGGCAUGCCUGUUCGAGCGUCAUUACAACCCUCAAGCUCUGCUUGGUAUUGGGCCGUGCCGGUUAGGCAGGCCUCAAAAUGAGCGGCAGGACUCGUAUCAGACCUGAGCGUAGUAAUUCUUUCUCGAUUUGGGGACGGUGCGGCCUCGCCAAACACCAUAUUUUUUACAGGUUGACCUCGGAUCAGGUAGGGUUACCCGCUGAACUUAA